UACGCUGAUGAGCUCGCUUGAACUUUGCAG
rnacentral:piRNA from 1 species